rnacentral:rRNA from 1 species
CCUACGGGAGGCAGCAGUGGGGAAUUUUGGACAAUGGGCGAAAGCCUGAUCCAGCAAUGCCGCGUGAGUGAAGAAGGCCUUCGGGUUGUAAAGCUCUUUUGUCAGGGAAGAAACGGUGAGAGCUAAUAUCUCUUGCUAAUGACGGUACCUGAAGAAUAAGCACCGGCUAACUACGUGCCAGCAGCCGCGGUAAUACGUAGGGUGCAAGCGUUAAUCGGAAUUACUGGGCGUAAAGCGUGCGCAGGCGGUUUUGUAAGUCUGAUGUGAAAUCCCCGGGCUCAACCUGGGAAUUGCAUUGGAGACUGCAAGGCUAGAAUCUGGCAGAGGGGGGUAGAAUUCCACGUGUAGCAGUGAAAUGCGUAGAUAUGUGGAGGAACACCGAUGGCGAAGGCAGCCCCCUGGGUCAAGAUUGACGCUCAUGCACGAAAGCGUGGGGAGCAAACAGGAUUAGAUACCCUGGUAGUCCACGCCCUAAACGAUGUCUACUAGUUGUCGGGUCUUAAUUGACUUGGUAACGCAGCUAACGCGUGAAGUAGACCGCCUGGGGAGUACGGUCGCAAGAUUAAAACUCAAAUGAAUUGACGA